UCCUUCCGUCCUACGCAUCUAAUAACUACUGGAACUUUUCCUACUAUCAAACAACGCUCAGGAAUGUGUUUUAACCUACUUGACUGCAGUUGACAAACUCAUUGUAAUUCUUAUUAGAAAUUUGCUCGGCUGCAAUGGAUGUCGUAGCAUUUAAAAAAAAAACAUUUCCCCACAAUCUUUGCGUUCUUUCUUCCCCUAACAAUUAUAGAUAAUGCUUUCAAACCACAUAUAUUGUGCCAACGAUUGUUCACACGUGCGGUGUUGUUUAGAAUUACAGGACUUUAUUUUAUAGUUUUAUAGGAGAACCUGGAAAGAUUUCCAGAAUAAUAGUGAUGGAUUCUAGAUUACGCUGUGGUUAAAGAAUAACAAUGUCAAGUAAACGCCGUCAAUUCUGUUGCAAAUGUAAGCCAGCGAGCAAUUGCAUAUGAUUAUUGAGCUCUUAUUCACUAAUCCUGGUGUAGCAAUUCGGAACUUAGAUUUUUUUGUAAGGUACAAUUGUACAAUAUAUUAUGUUACAUUCCCACGCAGGAUCAGUUCUGUUAUAACGUGUUGGUCUAUUUUUCUCCAUCCCAACCUGUUAUUAGUGAAGAAAAUCUAGAACAGCGACUAAGUCUUCCCUUAGAACCGCCACCAGCAAUGACGGUCAAAUAAAAAUACUUUAGCUAUUUUGUUCGUGUUUAGAAUUUCGCCACAGCGAAAAAGACCAGCAUCCCCAACUUGUAAAUUAAACUGCGACUCGAUCACAGAGUUUACCAUACAUCUGUGUACUGUUGGUAAUAAGUAAUAAGGCCUUGUGCCAGGACUGCAGUUCUUCCAGGACACCUAAUCUUUCCUAAUUAUUUAGAUGACCUUCAAGUGAAGAAAAAAAACAAAGACCAUUUUCUGGCAAACUAUAAAUGUCAUAUAUGCUUGUGCAGUGUAUAGGAAUUGGAGAAAGGUUACAAUGCAGAGGAGGUCAUUUCCCCCCCUCUAGCCUCAGGAGAGGAGGCUACACAACAGAAACAUUUGCUUUUCAGAGUGGAAUUAACCUUUACUCUUUCCUUUGCAGCUCCCAUAAUGAUGUAACUUCCCACUCCCCACAUUUCCUGCUAGCUUAAACUACUGCUAUGGGCUAGAAUGGCUAAAUAACUCUAUAUCAACUAUAACUAUUCAUAUAUUUUUAUCUUUGCAGAAUUGGAAGUAUGUAUUAAUCACAUUUGCACACCAGAUGCAAGUUUCAAAUCCAAAACAUUAGGUUGUAGACUUAUGUUUGAUAUAAUUCCUUCUCUCACAUGGGAUAUUUGGAAUGUUUUCUUUGCAAGCUGUUUAAAGUUUUGGUUUAAUAUUGACAUACAACAACACUAAUGUGUUAUAGUACUGUAUAAUAUUCAUCUGUAUUGUUUAAGAUUUGCUAUAUCUUUUUUCAGUAUUGCAUGUGAAGUUAAGUUGAACUAGUGCCUUGGGUUUCCAAAGAGUUAACGUCGGAGGUAGGGUGGGGUAGAGGGGGUGAUGUGUUAAAAUUUAAAUGGUGCUCUGAUAUUCUCUUGUAGCCAAUAAGCGUAGCGUUUUGAUAUGGACCAUGCCUUUAUUAACCUUCAGCAAGGCUCUGACGUGUCCGCUCAUGUUGAAAGAAAAAAAAAUGAAUAGGGAGGAAGGAAAGUCUGACUUUCUCUCAAGGCUACAUGAAGUAGAAAUGUUAAGGGAGAAAAGUUCAAGAAGUCUGCACAACACAUAACUCAAAUGCCACUCUGCUGAUAAAAACUGAAUUCUCUGAAACGUGUCAUGGGGCUGGUUACCAACUGUAACAGUAAGUACAGAUUAAACAAUGUGCUCACAUCAGACUUUAGUUACAGGACACCUGUGCCACAUUUAAAAAAAAAGUAUUAAAAUCUUUGGUAUUCACUUGCAAAUAUUUUAACAUAAAGUAUUUAUGUCUCCAUUAAUUCCAAGUAGCUUAGAUGUCAAAUGAUUAAAAGUAAACCACUUAUUUUAUUUACAAAAGCAGAUAUUAAUAGAGUUAACAGCUCUCUCUUCCUGCCUCAAACCCUGUCCAUUUAUUCAUUUCACAGAAAAGUCAUUCAGAGUUAAUUUCAUUUCUGUCAUUUAACUCCCACUGAAAUCGAAAAAUGCCAUGGUUACAUAUGUUUGACCUCUAUUUGUAUCAAGUUGCUUUACCCAGUUUUAUCAUUACAGGACUGAGAAGGAGGCGUAAACUGGCUAACAUGACUGACAUUUUUGCCAAUAGCUUUGACAGGCCCAUUCAUUCUGUGUAAGCCUCUUUUUGCUUGCAUCGAUUAUUACCUCUAUCUGGGACACGAGCAGGUUCUGACAUAUUUCCCCACAGACCUGUGUAACUAUGCCCUCUUUUGGAUAUGAUGAUGAACUGUAGUGAAGUGCAUUGAAGAAUACAGGAGUGUCAUAUUGCACAGAACAGCUGUACUUUUCAUUUUUAAAGGUAACUCACCAGACAGUGUUUCUUGUGUAAAAGAAAAACAAAACUAACUGGGAAUAUACUACCAAGCACGAGUAGCCUGCUUAUAUUAGAAUUCACAGUAAAACAGAUAUUUCUCAAGAACAAGAACACAUUGUUCAACAAUUGUUUUAUAAUGAAAUAACCGGUGGACAGUUAUACUGUUUUAGUACAGUUUACUCCAGAUGCACAGUGAAAUAUUAUUAAAGGUUAUGAUAGGAAAUGCACUUUAUAUAUAAAUUGAAUGUUUUCUAAAGCAUGACUGUGAUACUCCUAAUUGUUAUAACAUGCCUCUGUUUUCCUUUGGAUGGAAAUUGAGAUAUGGAUUUAAAGACAGGAGGAUGCCUCUUAAAUCCUACUGAGAUCAGGACCCAUGAAAAUAAUGGCAGAGACAUUCACGGGACUGAAGACUGGGGUGCGUCUCCACACAUACACACAGAGCAUUAAAUGCAAGAUGACGUUCUGCAUGACCAGUUGCAGCAGGCUCUGUGUGCAUAAUAUCAAGCUACCAGAUUCUGCUUAAUUUGUACUUCAUCCACUUGGCACUUGGUAUUAUCCCAUACGUAUGUAAUUGCUUUUCCUGAAGCAGGCUCUUAAAGGUUAAUAUUUAUUGGUCCAUUCAUCUUCGUGACAAAACUCUAAACAAGAACUUUAAAUGAGACAGCCAACAAUUUUAGCUUUAUAACUUUUUUUGUACAUGGCCUUAUAAACUCAGAGUAAUUUUAAGAACAAAUUUGAAGUAUAACUUCAUACAAGCCAUGUGCUGGUAUAGGCAUUUGUUGAGUCCAGGGUGAGCUCAACUUGGCUCUACCAUUUUGAGAUUAGUCAGUCAGGGUCCUCCUGGGUGAGUGGGUGCCUACAGGCUUGCAGUGACAUCAGUAAGAAAUGUUCCUCAAAUGCAGACUGCAGUAUCCCUUCUGACAGGCACUGUGCAACUUGCCUUGUGCCAAAUCACUGGUUCUAUCAUGCUCCCAAGCAUCCUGGAAUAAUCGGCUCUAUACGUAAGAUGUCACAAUGAGAAUGAACUAUUACGGUUGUCCAAAGCAGCACUGCAGUAAGAAUACUAUAUUCAACAGGAUACUGCCAGCAAGAUGCCUUGGUACUGACUGUGUCCUCCCUAGACUAUGUAAUCUCUAAACAUUUAGGAGUCUAUGGAUGAAAGUUUACAAUGAAAGAGGUCAUACAGCUUAUGCAUGUUAAUGAGUGAAAUGUAAUUUUUCCAGAGCUCUAGUUUUUUCCAUUAGCACUCAUUUAAUUUUUUUUUAUUUUGUUUUCUAGGUGCUUAAUGGCCUUGUAAUUAAUGACCUGUGACUUAAUAAAAAUAAUUGCAUUUAUAUAGCAUUUUUUUAUACCCAAUAAACCCAGUAAAAGAAGGAGGAAACUCACUUCAACUACAGCUCCCACCUGGGUGAUGUACCGCAGCUACUUGCUCCAGCAGCCCCAGUAGACAGCAGAUCACUAAUUGGGUCACUUAGAACUUUAGGAUGGCCAGAUUAUACAAGUCUAGAGUGGAAAUUAACAGGAUACCAACAAGGGACAUUACAAAGUACUCCUCUAAUUUGGACUACUUCCCUUUUGAAAAAUGUCAUUAGCUCUUUAAUGACCCAUUAGUUAGGACAUCAGUUUAUUGUCUCAUUCAUAGAAUAGCUCCUCCUACAGCACAGUGCCCCCUAUCCCCCGGCUAGAUCAACUUCGGUCCUGAGGGAAGUGUAUCAUUUGCUGGUCCACCAGUGCCACAUACAGCAGCAACCUGGAUCUCCUUGGAAAUCUCCCAUCCCAGUACUGACCAGGCUCAACCUUGGACUUCAGCUGUGGAUGGAGCAGCACAAAGAGGUGCUUUCUCAGGGAGAAGGAAAUCGUCCCGCAUCUCAGAAACAGGUGAAAAUG